rnacentral:lncRNA from 1 species
CUCAGGAGUGUCCACAAUUCUCCCGCACGGGAUUUUGAGUGCAGGGAGCUGUUUGGCAGGAUCAGUUUGGUCCUGGAUGCAGACCAGAAUCGUGGGUACCGGCGGUUGCCUGUCCUAUAUCCUUCUGUCCAGAGGCACUGUGCAGUUUCCCCUGGACCAGGGAUGUGGGCUGAGGUGUGCAGAGGUGGCAGUCUAUCCUGGGGCCUCGAGAUGUCUGCCUGGUUAAUUAUUUCAAAGUUAGAUUCUGAGAGAAGCAGAAAUGUCCAAGCCGCUCUCUUGUGGCUUAAGGCUUGUGGAAUUGAAUGAUUUCUGAUACCCAUC